rnacentral:tRNA from 1 species
GCGGAAAUGGCGGAAUUGGUAGACGCACCAGAUUUAGGUUCUGGCGCCGCAAGGUGUGAGAGCUCAAGUCUCUCUUUCCGCACCA